CCUACGGGAGGCAGCAGUAAGGAAUAUUGGUCAAUGGUGGCAACACUGAACCAGCCAUGCCGCGUGCAGGAUGAAGGUUCUAUGAAUUGUAAACUGCUUUUAUACGGGAAAAAACUUUCGAACGUGUUCGAAACUGAUGGUACCGUAAGAAUAAGGAUCGGCUAACUUCGUGCCAGCAGCCGCGGUAAGACGAAGGAUCCAAGCGUUAUCCGGAUUUAUUGGGUUUAAAGGGUGCGUAGGUGGACUUGUAAGUCAGUGGUGAAAGCCCGAUGCUUAACAUCGGAACUGCCAUUGAUACUGCAAGUCUUGAAUAUGUUUGAAGCGGGCGGAAUGUGUCGUGUAGCGGUGAAAUGCUUAGAUAUGACACAGAACACCGAUUGCGAAGGCAGCUCACUAAACCAUUAUUGACACUGAGGCACGAAAGCGUGGGGAGCAAACAGGAUUAGAUACCCUGGUAGUCCACGCCCUAAACGUUGAAUACUCGAUGUGUGCGAUACACUGUACGCGUCCAACGAGAAUACGUUAAGUUAUUCCUACCGUCGGGAGGUACGCGUCGCGAGAGUAGAACGUACAAAUAGAAGUUAGUACGGCGUGAGACGUAGACCGACGGACGACCGACGAGGGGAGGGUUAGGG
rnacentral:rRNA from 1 species